UGCGCCCGUAGCUCAAUUGGAUAGAGUGUCACCCUCCGAAGGUGAAGGUUGCUGGUUCAAUUCCAGCCGGGCGCGA
rnacentral:tRNA from 1 species